rnacentral:rRNA from 1 species
AACGAACGCUGGCGGCAGGCUUAACACAUGCAAGUCGAGCGCCCCGCAAGGGGAGCGGAAGACGGGUGAGUAACGCGUGGGAAUCUACCCAUCUCUACGGAAUAACGCAUGGAAACGUGUGCUAAUACCGUAUACGUCCUUCGGGAGAAAGGUUUAUCGGAGAUGGAUGAGCGCGCGUUGGAUUAGCUAGUUGGUGGGGUAAAGGCCUACCAAGGCGACGAUCCAUAGCUGGUCUGGGAGGAUGAUCAGGCACACUGGGACUGAGAGACGGCCCAGACUGCUAGGGGAGGCAGCGGUGGGGAAUAUUGGACAAUGGGCGCAAGCGUGAUCCAGCCGUGCCGGGUGAGUGAUGAAGGCCCUAGGGUUGUAAAGCUCUUUCACCGGUGAAGAUAAUGACGGUAACCGGAGAAGAUGCCCCGGCUAACUUCGUGCCAGCAGCCGCCGUAAUAC